UCGAGCCGGAUGAUGGAAAAUUAUCAUGUCCGGUUCUUUCGGGGGAUGGAUCUAGAAUAUCAAAAAUGAACCCAAU
rnacentral:ncRNA from 1 species